UGACCUAAAAAGUCCUAGUGUUGGGUUGCA
rnacentral:piRNA from 1 species